AGUGGCAACUCGCUGGGGUCCCCUUCCACCCUUUGAAAACUUUGUUCUUUGGUUCUUUGCAAUAAAUGUUGCUGCUGCUCACUCUUCGGGUCUGCACUGGCUUUAUGAGCUGUAACACUCACUGCGAAGGUCUGCAGCUUCACUCCUGGAGCCAGUGAGACCCCGAGCCCACCGGGAGGACCGAAGAACUUCAGAUGCGCCGCGUUAAGAGCUGUAACACUCACCGCGAAGGUCUGCAGCUUCACUCCUGAGCCAGCGAGACCACGAACCCACCAGAAGGAAGAAACUCGGAACACAUCCGAAUAUCAGUAGGAACAAACUCCGGACACGCCGCUUUUAAGAACUGUAACACUCACCUCGAGGGUCCGCGGCUUCAUUCUUGAAGUCAGGGAGACCAAGAACCCCCCAAUUCCGGACACAGGGGGACUUGGCUGCUUCCUGUUUCUAUCAUAGACGCAGCUGGCCUCAGAAUAUUCCACUUAUGGAUGAAAGAAUGAUAGUGUUAUUUUAUGGAAGAAUUUAAGAAGAUGUUGCGGUAUCAUCGACUUUGUAACAUCUGGUGAUCUCCAAAUCAAGAGAUAAGAGAAACCAAGCAUGCCUGGAAGAGACGUUUCUUAAAGGUCACCUACAGAUCAAUACCCACAAAAAGCAAACCACAAAUUAAUGGAAAGGCAUGACAGAAAUCAUUGCCUUUCUCAUUAGGCCCUCUGCCAACUGCCUGUUACGUAUUAGAUCCACCCUGAUUUAUUCUAAGCCCUAGACUGCAUAGGCUGGUGCUUAUUGUCAUGGUCAUUAUAAGCCAUUAUUAUUCAUUCCUAGAGUGCAAAUGAGCUUCUUAUCCUUUAAUUCUUCCCUAGGAAAGCACCCCAAGGGAACCAUAAUUUGCAAAAAAUUGGCCUCCUGAUUUCUUUUUGCCUAAUGAGUUUAAUUUUCGGCUUUGAAAAGGAGAAAGCUAAAGGGACUUGAAACCUACAAUGUUAAUUCUAAUUGAUCACUUCAAAGACCUUUUACAUUCAUAGAUGACUGAAUCUCAGGUUCAGAAAGUGUCUUAACGGUCUUCUACUCAAGGCACACUAGACUCAGGAGACUGCUGUGAGAAAGAAAAAGAAAUCUAGCUUAUCUGUCUGUGGGAGAUGCUAGAAACAGGGAAACAUGAAGGGACAAUAUUGUUCCGGAAUUUUUAGCUGGCACUCAGAUUUCUGUCUGCCUCUCAUUGGCAAACAUGACAUUUCAGCAAUUUCUCUAAAGAGGAAUGACUGGGGGGUAUGUACAGCAGGCAUCAUGUAAGAAAAACUCACACCUCACGACAUAUUUGUUUGAUUUAUUCAGCAGACUUCAGCAAAGGAAAGAUGUGAAAGCAACCCUUGAUUGUUGAUUUUUUGUUCAUUCUGAAAAUCACAUCGCCAGAUCCAACACCUUUUUAUCCCAAUCACCAGUACAAGCCACCCGUAUCAGUGUACACUGUGGCUGACCGAUCCAUAGUGAUGCUUUGAGCACAAGGAAGGACUUUCUGGAAUCUACUUAUCUGACCAAGAAAGCUUCUUUCCAAAAGAAAUGCAAUUGUCUUGAGACUUCUUCCCUAGGGAUCUGAUCAACUAACCAGAAAAGAGCAACCACCAGAGAAGAGACUACCUGCCCAGGGCUUUGCCUGGGCAUGCCCACAGCAGACCGGGGGCCCACCUGCGUACCGGGAGAGUGGGGUGGAGCCACCGGGAAUUCACGCCUGAUGCCCGGGGAGGAGUCUGGCCUCUUCAGCUCCUGUGUGGUGGCCUGAUAUUCAGUCUGUGAGCUGGGAGCCUGUUGGCAGGUCCCUCUUUUUAUUUUCGCUGAGAGCUUUCUUUUACUAAAUGCCACCAUCCUUACCUUUCAAGGUGUCUGCGUGCCUAAUUUUUCCUGGUUGUUAGACAAGAACCCGGAUUUUAGUUGAACUCUGGAGCAAAAAUCCUGCAUCAUUUGUAGGUAAUGUUUGUUUUCUUUGGUUGCUUUUAUGACCUUCUCUUUAUUCCUAGUAUUUGGGCAUUUCACAAAAACAUUUAUAAAUCUGAAUUAAAAAACAAACUGACCUUGCCAAGGACCCUACUGAUCCCUUUUCAUAUAAUUCUAUCUGCUAGGUCUUGUGCUGCCUUCUAAGUUAGUUCAUCAGUUCUAUACUUCAGUAUUUAAUUCUAUAUUCAGCCAUGUUAUCAAAUGUUUAUUUCAACCUUUGAGUUUCUCAUUUGUAAUAGUAUUUUUUCAUUUUUAUGUUUUUAAAAGAGUUCUUUUCAUAUUUUACUAUUUUUGUUUAGUAACUUUCAGUACUUGUUGCGUAGAUUUUAUUUCAUCUUUAUGUUUUUGAGAUGUUUGCAUAACACAUUUAAAGACAAUUACAUAUUGUUGUAUGAUUUCCAUUUCCUUGGUCAAGAAUUCUCCCAUUUGUUGCAUCUCUGAAGAGUUUCCCAAGGUGGGUUAAUCUUGAAUAUGGUAAACUUGCUGCCCUCAGUUUUUUAGUUUUAAUACUUUAUCAGUUGUUUCUUGUUCUUUUUUUUUCUGGGCAUAUUAUUACCUCAUUUGAAAAUAAUGACAAUUUUGGCCUUUCUCUUCGAGAUUUUGUAACUCAUUUUCUUUUCUUUUCACAUAGAAUUUGAUAAGGCCUCCAGUACUUUGUGAUAUAGUAGUUGUGGGGAUGGUCCUUCUUGUCUUACUGCUGAUCUCAAGUUUAUGUUUGUAGCAAAUUUUUGCUACAUGACCAUUACAAGUUUAAGAGGUUACCAAGAGUUUUUAUUACAAAUACCUUAAAUCUUAGCAAAGACUAUAAAAACUGAGAUAAACAUGUUUUUCUUCUAAAUAGUAAUCAUUUAGACAAAUCACAAAUGUGAUAUCAGAUUAGUGCAUCCUACACUGUAUGGAAACUAUAAAUUCAUGAUUUUCAAAAAUUGUAGGUAAAUAUUUAUUUUUCAAAAUAAUUUAUCCAUCUUGCUUUACCAAAAAAGGCAAGGUCUUGUUUUUCUUUCCCUAUACAGUAGUAAUGGCUCUUUGGUGUAAAAACUUUAUAGGACCUAAAGUAAAAAAGAAGAUAAAAACCAGUUUGUCUUUCAAAGUCUUAAAAUAUUUCAUUAACCUCGUAGUGCCUGAUCUCUGUCACCAAGCAAAUAGUCUGAACUAUUAUUUCCAAGCUCAAUUCAAACAGGUAAAGUUUUACUACAAUUAUAUCUGGCCAUCACUACAGUGUUUUCUCCAAUCACUUCCAAAGCCUACCCCUUUUCUUUAUCAUACUUCCACCUACAUUGCAUAAUACAGAGCUUAGCUAGUGAGGUACAAGUGAUAAGGAUUAUCUCCCCAGAGUCUCCGGGCCUUGGUAAUUCCUAGACCACAGCACCAUGCAUUAGGUUAUAGUCACAGGCCUCUAUAUAGUCUUCCACAUAUCCCAUUACAUUUUAAAUCCUAUGCAUACCCUUUAUAUCCUGCACUUAUCUGUCAAAAUUCUAAGGUAUAAGAUUUUUUUUUUACUUAUCCCUGCUGUUUAAUUUUGAAGAAAGAAAAAUAUAAAAGAAAAUUUUUUAAAAAGAGGCCUUCAUGGAUAUCAAAGAAUGCCAACAAUAAUGCUGAAGAAAGAAGUUAUUCUACAGCAAUGAGACACAAAGAAAAGAAUUUUGUAAACAUUAGCAUCUUGGUUACUGGAGAACUAUAACUUUUAUGUAGUCGUGCUUGGAAAACACUAAAAGGGAAAUCGAGUCUGUUUGACAAUAUUCUGUCUUCACUGUUGAUCACUUCAUAAUGUGUUGGAAUAUAAAGUUCUAUACAGUUAAUAUGAAGCUCUCUUUAGCAUUUAAAACAUGAUUUGCAUUUUCAUGAGGCAUUUUGGCUAAUUUUAUUGAUUUCCUUAUAUUUCAUAGUCCUUAGCCUUAUGAGAAUCUUAUGUUUCUGUGUGUUUUCUAUCAUGUAGCACAAUUUCUGACACACAAAACAUACAAUAAACUUGUGUUAAUUUUUCUAUCAAAGUCAGAAUUUAUUCAUAAGGAAUCUGAAGUAAGGUGUACUAAGCUUGUUUAUGGGUUAAGUGAUAUAGCCAAAUUCAAAACUUUACUUUUUAUGUCAGUCUAGAAAUAUCUCAGAUUAAAACAUAUCACUUCUUAGUUCCAAUUAGAUAAGGGAAAUCUUUUAUAAUAAUGCCAGGAUUGCUAUAAUCUGAUAGGAGACAACAAUUUCAUUUUGCUACAGGAAAAUUUGGAGGACAAAAAAAAAAAAAGAAAACAUAAGAUAGAGGAGAGAAAAUAGUCAGAUGAAGAAGCAAAAAACACAAACAAGGCAUUUAGAUUUGUUAGGAAGGAAUUCAAGUCAGUCAGUAAAGUGAUAACUUUUGAAUUAUCUGAGAAAAAUAUACUCAGAACAAAAUCAGGCACACUAAAGGUAUCCAUAAUCCACAUUAUUUACUAGGCUAAAGGUAAGUACAAACAAAUCUACAUGGACUAAUUGUAUCACAGAACAAAAAGGGUAGCAAAAUCCAGUAAUUCCAAUGGAGUAAUAAAGUUGCAGACAAAGGAAAAUUAACGUGUGCAUUGCUUGAGAUAUGACUAAAAUGUCAUUAAAAUAAAUUCUAAGUUAUGAAUAUUCAUUUGAAAAGUUACAAAGUACACACUGAUUUAUAUUUCAGAAGCAAGGAUAUAUGUUUCUAUAUAAUUUAGUCCUAAAUAUAGUUCAUUUCCUAUGCUAAUGCUUUUUUCCUUCUUCUUACCUUCUUAGGUCAACAACAAGAGGCCAGGACCUCCCAAGAAAAGCUUUACUAAUGUAAUAGCUUUGGCCAAGUCCACCCAAUAUAUUUUCCUCUCUGCAAAGAGAAACAAGCUAUUGUCUCAUCUUAGGUUUCAUCUUCUUCCAUGCCACUGUUAUUCAUGUUCAAAUCCUGGCUGUCCUUCAGGGUCCAAUUCAAAUGAUUAUCGCCAUUUUCUAUUAAUGUCAUUUCUUCCUAUUUUCUACCUUUUGUUAGCUAUGUUAAAGUGUUUCUUUACCAACAUCCCCCAUAUAUUGUGUAACACAGUGUCUAUGGCUUACUCAUUUUUGAAUCCUUAUCAUGACCUGACAUAAUGAAGAUUCUUAGUACAUAGUGAUACAUGUAAAUAUGAGUUAAUUAGUACAUGAUAGACUUGAUUUCCAGAAUGAUUUUGUAUAGUUGAAUUGUGUAGUAAGGGGACACAUGUGAAAUGAAGACUUUAGUCAGUAUCAAGAAGAUAUUUUGGGUGACUUCACAUAUCUGCCAAUGAUAAAUCUAGAAACAAUAGGUGCUUGGGUAGGUGAUUUCCUUUUGCCUUCUUUAUCAUUGUUUUCCCAGUAUUUCUUACAUUCAUCUAAUUUCAUUAGAUGCCCAUAUACUUUAUACUGGCUCUUCCUGUGAGGUUCGAACUGGUCCAGUCCAUUUGUUUUCAGAAUUGAUUCAUCUGGAGAGUCAUCUCCUAUCCUCCCAAACAAUGAUAUACCAGUCUGAGGACUGUGUAGAAGGGACUUCUCUUUCUACUCAGUAUGACCAAAAUAAUUCAAUUCUAGUUGUGGUGUGUGAUUUAUGAAUAUUUUGUCCUUUAGUUUGUGUGAGCCAAUUUUGUGCCAUAAGAAUUUUAGCCUCCUUUUCCACAAAAGAGUGAUUUAAUCAAACAAAAGUUGACAAUCAAUGUAGUACAUUUGUGUGACAGUGAUUAAACAUGGUGUUUUUCUCUUAGGUGUCUGAGUAGAUUUGGAAAUGCCCAUUCAGCCCUCAGAGCUCCUCUGCUUUAAGGGUGAUGGACUUCCUGUACCACUACGUAGUGCAUGAGUGCCAGCCACUGGUAUCUAGAACUGUGAUUAGUGAGGAAACACUAGGAGGAACAAACAACCCAACUCUUUUUAUCUAAUCUGUUGACUCCAAAGGGACCUUCUGCUUAUUCCAGUUAAAACUCAAGCUGCAAUUCAAAAUGAAAUCAGUAUCUUUUUUCUCUACUUUUCAGCAAAGCAAGAUGCUACCUUAUAAUUACCACGUAACAAUCAAUCGCAAACAUAGUGGCUUAAAGCAGCUCCUCUUUUAGCCUACAUAUCUGCAAACUGGCAGUCUGGACUGAGCUCAGCUGGAUGUUUUUUCUGAGCUGAUCAUGUAUGUAGGGUCUGCUGCUGGCUGGUUUAGACUGAUGGUGGAUGAGAAACCACAUGAAGAAGAGAGGCAUGAUGGUGGCAGAGUUCUGAAAGAGUCACACAGAAGGGCGUUGAGUUCGUGGCUUGAAAAUAGCAUCCUGUCACUUCUACCACAUUCUAUUUACCAGGCCAGCCCAGAUAAAGAUGUGAAGAAACAGACUCCAUCUCUUGAUGGGAGAAGUUGAAAAUCAAUGGAAAAUGGCAUGGAUAAGGAAAGGAGUGAUGAUUGUGGCCAUAUUUGUAAUGGCCAUAUUUGAUACCCUUUUCAGUUUUCCUAGCCACACUUCUCAUUGGCCAGGAAAAUUAAAUGCAUGUCAACACUGAAGAAAACAGAUCUUGGUUAAAAGCAAUGAUGUAGCUAAUAUCCCGUUCAGGUAAAAGAUUACUUAUAUAGUGUGAGACAGGCAUGAGGCAGAGAAGUGCUUACAGGUUGGUUUCUGCUUUGUUAGCAGAUUUACUUUUAGAUCAUAUACUACUUUGUUUUUACUGUUUUAUUGAGAAAAAAUAACAAAUAUUUCCAAAAUUUUGCAGCAUGCAACUCAGUGCUUCAGUUGGCAUUCAAUCAAAAUUUCCUUGAAAUAAAAAAAGACAAGAGAGAGACUUGGAAUUAUGACUCUUCUACUAGAUUAGCUCCUUCAUGUCAAAAUCUGUCAAGUUUAUGAUUUAUUCAGAUAGCACUUGUUUUUGGUGUAAUAACUAAACUGUUGCUUUAGAGUCUACUACAUUCUCCUCUAUUAUUUGGCAUUUUUCUCUUUAUUAUUUUGUUCAAGUAGGAUAUUGUGCUGAGUUGAACCAUGAAAUGAAUUGUAUUGAGCAACAUCAACAACAUAAAUAUUCUGGGGUGUCAUCUGCAUUUUCAUAUCUGGCUGCUCAAAUUCUUUUUACAGCUAUAGCUUUGAUAAUAAUGUAAUAGCAUAAUGUUUUUCAUUAGAUAUCAAAUCAUAGAAGACAACAAAGAUGUGUUAAGUUAGCAUAGUUUAAUAUAAGGAAACAACAGCAUCAGUAAAAGCAUUGAGCACUAAAUAUCUCUUCCAUUUCAGUUCUUUUACAGGAAGCUUUUGUUACGUGUUGUCAGCACAUUGCUGUGAUGCUCAAGUAUAGCUCUUUAAUGUGAAAACCUGGUAUUUGGGCAUGGCUUGAAGCAGGUGAGAGAGUAACCCAUGCAGAUAUUAGAGGAAAGGAACAAGAGUAGCUGGAAAGAUCCAGAGUUAGGAAGCUUCCUGGUGCCCUCCAGGAGUGGCAAGCUGGUCACUGUGGCAUGAGAAAAUUGAGUUAGGGAAAAAGAAGCAGAUUAGGUCAAAGAGGUGAAAUGGGAGGGAGGUCAUGUAGAUGUUGUAGGCUACUGUGAUGAGUUUGACUUUUACUCUGGAAGACAGGAAGACAACCAUAAAAUUUGGGCCAUUAGAGUGAAAUAAUUUGUCUUUAUUUUAAAAGGAUCACUUUGCCUCCUCUGUUGGAAUAGAAUGUGUAUGUACUGGAGAGUGGUGGUGGAUAGACAGCUAUAAUGGAAGCUGGGAGACAAAUUAGAAAGCAACUGUUUUCUCCCAAAUUCAUUCCCUGCCCUUCCUCUAAUUACAUCUAUAUCUUAGAGGUCUAAUCCUUAAAAAAUAUAUUUCCCAGAUUCCCUUGCUAAUUGGUUUCAAACUAAAUUUAGUCAAAAAGAAGCAUUGUCAUGAAGUUCAGGGCACCAAGAAGGGACAAGCUGGGGCAUUGCUCUCUCUCUCUGAUUGCUUUGGGUUGUGCCUGUGGCAACUGCCACAUGUGCCCCAUGGCCAGUCCCUGCUGGGCAGGCUACUGUGAUUGCCAUUUGUAUUGGGUGAUCUCAGCUUUUGGUUUCCCAUGAUACCAUCUCUAGGGGUAGCAGCUGGCUAUAAUAACUAAUGUCUGGAUUAUCCUAACUCUUCUGUUUGUUCUUUCAGGUAUUUAACAAUGUUGUGACUAAUUGGCUUCCAUUAUUUCCCUAGAGUAGGUUCUGUUAUUACCCUGGAAUAUGUUUGUAAUAGAGUGGGCUAUUACAAUCAUCUAGGAUAAAGAUAAUCGUGGCUUGGAAUAAGGUGGUAGCAAUGGAAGUGAUGAGAAGUCAUUAGAUGCAGAAUAUAUUUUAUAGAUGGAAUGUGAUAAAAUAAAAAAUAAACUGGACUCUGGUUUCCAGCAUAUAGUUCCAAAAGACUGAAAUUGAAAUUUGUGGAGUAAUAGGGUAUCUUUUGUAUGCUAAUGAGAAGAGUGGCGGUUGGGGGCCCCUAGAAAGCUUCAGCAUGAGGGCUAGUCACCAGAAAAACUAUGACAUGAUUAGAGGGCUAGAACUUUCAGCCUCACUCCUUGACCUCUGAGGAGAGAAGACAGGCUAGAGAUUGAGUUCAAUCACCAAUGGCCAAUGAUUUAAUCAAUAUCAUGCCUACAUAACGCAGUCUCCAUAGAAACCCCUAAACCGUGGAUUUCAGAGAGCUUCUGGGUUGGCCAACAUAUCAACAGAGGAGCUGUGAGGUGGGCAAGCCUGAAGAGGGCUUGGAAGGUCCUGUAUCUGCCCCCUUUUCUUUGCUUUAUGCUUCUCUUCCAUGGGCUGUUCCUAAGUUGUAUCUUUUAUAUAGUCAAAAAGAGUUUUGAUAUAGGUUGUAUGAGUGUUAUAAGAUAAAUAAAAGUCAAAAAUGACUCUAGUGUUUUUCCUGAGAAAUUGAAAAUGGCAUAAUUAUUAUUAACUAAGAUGAAAAUAAUGUAAAUAAAGCAAGUCUAUGCUGGGAGAGAUUAGGGGUUCAGUUUUGUACAUGCUGUGUUUAAGAUGCCCAUUAACUACCUAAUUGGAACGUUUAAAUGAUCAGUUGUGUAUAUAUGCAUCUGGAGUCAGAAGUCCAAACUAGAGAUAUAAAUUUAGGAAUCAACAGCUUUUAUUGUUGUCUAUUCAAAGUUAUGAGCCUAGAUGAGAUCAUUCCAGAAAGUGAACAUAUAUAAAAGAGAGAUUACCAAAAGUGAAUGAGGACUCCAUUUACUAUACCUUCAAUUAUUUAAAAUCUUAUAAAUUGGUGCUGUCCAAUAGAACUUCCUGCAGAGACAGAAAUGUUCUAUAUUUGUACUAUCUGAAAUAGUAGCUGUAUUAGUUUUCUAUUUCUACCACAACAAAUUGUCUCAACUAUAGUGGCUUAAACAACAGUAAUUUAUUAUCUUGUAGUUCUGUAGAUCAGAAAUGCACCAUGGUGUCACUGGGCUAAAACCAAGGUGCCAGCAUGGUUGCAUUCCUUUUUGGAGGCUCUGGUGGAGAAUCUGUUUCUUUGACUGAUCUAACUUCUAGAGCCCAUUUGCAUUCCGUGGCUUGUGGCUCCCUACCUGCAUCUUCAAAGCUAGCAAGGCAUGUUGAGUUCUCACAGCUCAUUACCCUGAUCUUUUCUUCUGUCUUCCUCCUCCACUUUAAGUAUCCUUGUGAUUAGAUUGGAACCCUUGUGGAUAAUCCAGGAUAAUCUUCCCAUCUCAAGGCCCUUAACCUUAAUCACAUGUAUAAAGUCCCUUUUGUCAUGUAAAGUAACAUAUCCAUAGGUUCCAGGAUUAGAAUGCAUACAUUUUUGGGAGGCCAUUACUUUGCCUACCAGCAUGACCACUAUCACCAUAUGGUGAUUGGACAUUUGAAACAUGGCUAGUGGAAUUGAGAAACAACAUUAUUUUAUUUUAACUAAUUUAAAUGGAAAUGGAAAUGCAUAUAGAUAAUGGCUACCUUAUUGGACAGCACACAUCUAGAAGAAUAGGAGAGUAAAUAGACUAGGGACAUGUGGUAUGAUCACAGACCAACAUUAAGAGCCUAUGUAUGAUUUGUAGUUAUGAAUUUUAAGUAAGACUUUAGCAUAGUUGUAUUUCUACAGCCAUGUUAACUACUGAUGGCACUCUAUAUUAAUCCCUUCUCACACUGCUAUAAGGACAUACUUGAGACUGGGUAAUUUAUUUUAAAAAAGAGGUUUAAUGGACUCAGUUUCAUAUGGCUGGGGAGACCUCACAAUCAUGGUGUAAGGCGAAGAAGGAGUAAAGGCACAUCUUACAUGGCAGCAGGCAAGAGAGCAUGUGAGGGGGAAUGGCCUUUUAUAAAACUAUCAGAUCUCAUGAGAACUCACUCACUAUGACAAGAACACCAUGGAGGUAACCACCUUCAUGAUUCAAUUACCUCCCACCAGGUCCCUCCUAUGACAUGUGGGGAUCAUGAAAACUACAAUCCACGAUGAGAUUUGGGUGGGGACACAGCCAAACCAUAUCACACCCAUAAAAUUGCCUUGAAGAUACAUUAUCAAAAAACGAUAAUUAUAAACCAAGGGAGAUAAAGGUUUUGAAUUUAAGAAACAGUGAUGAGCAAAGAGACCAGAAAAAUUUCUCUUAACUCUAAAUAAUUAUUGAGGCUACCACUCCAAAAAUUAAUAUAAUUUUUUUUUUAGAUGAAGUCUCACACUGUCACCUGGGCUGGAGUGCAGUGGCGCAAUCUCGGCUCACUGCAACCUCUGCCUCCUGGGUUCAAGCAAUUCUCCUGCCUCAGCCUCCCAAGUAGCUGGGAUUACAGGCACCCGCCACUACACCCAGCUAAUUUGUUGUAUUUUUAGUAGAGAUGGGGUUUCACUAUGUUGGCCAGGCUGGUCUCAACUCCUGAUCUCAGGUGAUCCCCCCCACCUCAGCCUCCCAAAGUGCUAGGAUUACAGGUGUGAGCCACUGCGCCCAGCCCAAAAUAUCUUAAGUAGAUGGGGUUGUGCCAUAUUGGCCAGUCUGGUCUUGAACUCCUGACCUUGUGAUCCACCUGCCUCGGCCUCCCAAAGUGCUGGGAUUACAGGCAUGAGCCACUGUGCCUGGCCAUAUAAUUUUUAAAAGAAGAUUCAUUAAACAAAGGAUCCACAAUAUAAUAAAAAAUUCCAAACUAUCAAAAGCCAAAUGAUUAAUUCUUGACACUUAGGAAAUAAAUGGAUUGAUUAUUUUGUUCCGAAUUUCAGAACAACCAAUAAAAUAAGAGAAAUAAGAUACAGAAUUUGCAAAUCAUUAGAAAGAAGUAACAAAGUUAUAAACAGGGAAGUAUUUUUAAAUGACACUUGAAAACCCAAACAAAAGAAGACAUAACACACGAUGGCAGCAAAAAGUUUAAACAUAUUAUGAUUACAAUUAUGAUUAGAUAAGUUCCCCUGUCAAAGACAAAGAACAGUAAUUAGUUGUUUAUAAGAACUACACUUAAAUCAAAUGACACACAAAGGUAAAAAUUGAACAAGGCAAUGAGAAGCAAAACAAUACCCAGAAAUAGAUUUCAGCAGAAGUGGGAGUCAUUCUUUCCAGUAUAGGUUUGAAUUCACAAUACCUGCAGGGCCUAAAAAAGCUCAAAUUAAAAUUUAAUGUAAAGUGGUCUCCAAUUAGUAGUUUCCCAAGAUGCCUUGCAGAAGAGGCAAUACAAAUUCAUUCUUUUUUUCUUUUCGCCACAAGGUGGGUGUCAUUGUGACUGGCUGCUACCUCCCCAUGAGUCUUCUAAAAUAAAACCUGCAAAUUCACAUCUUCCCCAUGCUUCCAGAGAAUGCAUAUUCUUCCUUUGAAAAAAGAAAACCAGGUAUGGUUGCAUGUGCUUGUAGUUCUAGCUACUCAGGAGUACUCAGGAGGCUGAGGUAGGAGGAUCACUUAAGCCUAGGAGUUCAAGUCCAAGUCUAACCAAGACAUAUGGAGACACUCUUUCUGGGGAGGGGAGGGAAAAAGAGGGCAACACCUAGGGAAACAGAUUUAGGUAGAGAGGGACAAUAGAAUUCUCAAUUUAUAACAAGGAAAAAAAUGACUACCAGACAUUUGUAAGACGUCAAUAGCACAAAAGAGAAACACAACCAGAUCAUAAUUUUUUGGUCAAAGGUCUAUAAAACGCUGGCUAAUUCUGAGGAUAUGGUGCAAAAAAAUAUGAUUUUGUUAACCACAACAAAAAGAAAGGUAAGAAAUGCUAGGAGAAAGCUAAAAGCUCCAUACUAAAAUAAUGGUCCUAAUAUUAAGCAAAGUAAAAUGUGGUAUGAUUUUGAGUGGUCAGCAGAGUGUAAGAAUAAUCUAUUUGCACUUGAUACUUUCAGCUGUCACAGAGGUCAUAGAAUUGGGCUUAUUGAGAAGGAAAGGUAAAUGCUAGUACACUACUUGGCUCAGAAGUGAACAAAAUUGCAGUUUGCUCAAACAACUCCAUAGGAAAAAGUCUAAUAAUCUGAUGUAAAAAUGGGCAGAAGAUUUGAAUAGAUAUUUCUCAAAAGAAGACAUACGAAUGGCAAACAGACAUAUGAAAAUGUACUCAAAAUCAUUGAUCAUCAGAGAAAUGUAAAUCAAAACUGCAAUGAGAUAUCAUCCGACUCCAGUUAAAAUGGCUUUUAUCCAAAAGUCAGGCAAUAAAAAAUGCUGGUAAGGAUGUAGAGAAAAGGGAACCCUUGUACACUGUUAGUGGGAAUGUAAAUUAAUACAAUCACUAUGGAGAACAGUUUGGAGGAUCCUCAAAAAACUAAAAAUAGAGCUACCAUAUGAUUCAGCAAUCUCACUGCUAGGUAUAUACCCAAAAGUAUAUUGAAGAGACAUCUGCACUCCCAUGUUUGUUGCAGCACUGUUCAUAAUAGCCAAGAUUUGGAAGCCACCUAAGUGUCCAUCAACAGAUGAAUGGAGAAACUGUGGUACAUAUACACAACGGAGUGCUAUUCAGCCAUAAAAAAGAAUGAUACUCUGUCAUCUGCAACAACAUGAAUGGAACUGGAGAUCAUUAUGUUGUUAAAUAAGCCAGACACAGAAAGACAAACAUCACAUAUUUUCACUUAUUUUGGGGAUAUAAAAGUCAAAACAAACUCAUGGAGAUAGAGAACAGAUAGACGGUUACCAGAGGCUAGGAGGAGGAGUGGUGGGGGGCAGUUAGUGAUGGUUAAUUGGUACAAAAAAAUGGUUAGAAAUAAUAAAUAAGACCUAGUAUUAGAUAGGACAACAGGAGGACUAUAGUCAAAAAUAAUUUAUUUGUACAUUUCAAAGUAACUAAAAGAGUGUAAUUGUAUUAUUUGUAGCACAUAGGAUAAAUGCUUGAGGUGACGGAUACCCCAUUUACCCUGAUGUGAUUAUUACACAUCGUAUGCCUGUACCAAAAGAUCUCAUGUACCUCAUAAAUACAUACACCUACUAUAUACCCACACAAAUUAAAAAUUAAAAAAAUUUAAAGAAAUUACAGUUUGUUGGUUUUGAAUAUUUGACCAAAUUUUUUACUAAGCACAGAUAGAUUGAAUAUAAUUUUAUUGUCCUUUUGACAUUAUGAUAAUGAAGGUAUCUACACAGAAGUCUGAGAUGAGAAAAAAAUGAUAUAAUAUCCACCUACUACAUAGUGGGUAGUUUAUAUACUAAAGUUAUUGUUAUGAGAAAGAAUGGCUUAGGAAUAUUAUUUAAAAUUAAUUAAGGGGUGUUAAAAAUAAAAUACCAAGUGUAAAAAUGACAAAGGCAAGAAGAAACAGUAUAUAAUGUGAGUAAAUCUUAAUCUUUCCAAGAGAGGAGACAGUACAUAAUGUCUAAAAUUGUUAAACCAUGAAAUAGAAAUAUAGUUAUUUUAUUCAUAAUUAAGGAGAUAACUACUAUAGCACGAAAUCGUGCCAAAAAUGGUUGCCUCUGGGAAAUGUGAUUAUAGAUAUUAUAAUAUUUUGGACUGUAAAAAUCUGCUUUUAAGACUGAGGAAAUACAAAUAGGACAAUAUUUAUUUGAAAUUUGUAUCCUCAGGGAGUGUAAAGAAAUUAAUGUAUCCACAAAAUAAUAAUAGCUGCUAUUUGAAAACAUAGUUUUCUUGAAAGUUAAAAUAGUAAUAGUCUUCUAAAAAUUUUGUUAGUUUUGGUUUUCUCUUUAAUCUGAGUUAUGUAGAAAAGUGCUUAUUUCAAAUUAGGUAGGCUUGUUUUAUUCCUUUUUCUGUCUUUUUUCUAUCAACUAGUGUUUUAUUGUGUUCAGAAAAUGCCAUGCAUUAAAAGACUACUUUUGAGAAUUUCUAGAGAUUUUCUUUGUUACUAAAGAGAUUUUUGUAAUUGUUACAUGGGAUUUUAAAAAGAAUGUAAAUUAUCCUUUUUGUCAAGUAUAAUGAUUUCUGAAACCUAGCUGUGUCAGAAUACUGUAUAAUACUGUAAUAGUAUGUUGUUUUUGGCUAUGUGUACUUAUUUCUUAGAGUGGUAUGUUAAAGCCUCGACCUUGUGACUUUGUUUAUUUCUCUCUCUACAUCUAAACAUUUCCAAGACAUGUUAUUUGCAAUACCAAGACCAUAACUAUUAUGUAUUUAAUCAAAAUAAAAUAUUUCGGCUCUCUAUAA
rnacentral:lncRNA from 1 species